UACAGAGGUCCCGAGCGUUGUUCGGAUUCAUUGGGCGUAAAGGGUGCGUAGGCGGCUUCCUAAGUUUGAUGUGAAAUCCUGGGGCUCAACCCUGGAACUGCAUUGAAUACUGGGAGGCUAGAGUACUGGAGAGGAAACUGGAAUUUACGGUGUAGCAGUGAAAUGCGUAGAGAUCGUAAGGAAGACCAGUGGCGAAGGCGAGUUUCUGGACAGUUACUGACGCUGAGGCACGAAGGCCAGGGGAGGCAAACGGG
rnacentral:rRNA from 1 species